rnacentral:rRNA from 1 species
UACCAGCACCCCGAGUGGUCGGGACGAUUAUUGGGCCUAAAGCAUCCGUAGCCGGUUCUACAAGUCUUCCGUUAAAUCCACCUGCUUAACAGAUGGGCUGCGGAGGAUACUAUGGAGCUAGGAGGCGGGAGAGGCAAGCGGUACUUAGUGGGUAGGGGUAAAAUCCGUUGAUCCAUUGAAGACCACCAGUGGCGAAGGCGGCUUGCCAGAACGCACUCGACGGUGAGGGAUGGAAAGCGGGGGAGCAAACCGGG